rnacentral:tRNA from 1 species
GCCUCAGUAGCGCAGUGGUAGGCGCGGUGGAUUUACAAACCGGAGAUCCUGGGUUCGAUCCCCGGCUGGGUCG